UAGAUGAGCCUAAGUCGGAUUAGCUAGUUGGUGGGGUAAAGGCCUACCAAGGCGACGAUCUGUAGCGGGUCUGAGAGGAUGAUCCGCCACACUGGGUCUGAGACACGGCCCAGACUCCUACGGGAGGCAGCAGUGGGGAAUAUUGGACAAUGGGGGGAACCCUGAUCCAGCCAUGCCGCGUGUGUGAAGAAGGCCUUUUGGUUGUAAAGCACUUUAAGUGGGGAGGAGGCUCUCUUGGUUAAUACCUGAGAAGAGUGGACGUUACCCACAGAAUAAGCACCGGCUAACUCUGUGCCAGCAGCCGCGGUAAUACAGAGGGUGCGAGCGUUAAUCGGAUUUACUGGGCGUAAAGCGCGCGUAGGUGGUUAAUUAAGUCAAAUGUGAAAUCCCCGAGCUUAACUUGGGAAUUGCAUUCGAUACUGGUUAGCUAGAGUAAGGGGAGAGGAUGGUAGAAUUCCAGGUGUAGCGGUGAAAUGCGUAGAGAUCUGGAGGAAUCCGAGGCGAAGGCAGCCAUCUGGCCUAAUACUGACACUGAGGUGCGAAAGCAUGGGGAGCAAACAGGAUUAGAUACCCUGGUAGUCCAUGCCGUAAACGUUGAGUUCUAGCCGUUGGGGGAUUUGAUCCUUUAGUGGCGCAGCUAACGCGAUAA
rnacentral:rRNA from 1 species